GUCACUGAUGGCCUUUCAAAGGAUAACUGUAUAGCUGCGCACUUGUUUGCGAAACAGGUACGUCAAUUAUACCGUAAGUCCGGUCCUUUAUCUACUGCACUUUAUUUAAAGCAGUGUGGCGUUUGCCUUCAACAGGUUUACGCCAGGCCGCCUUACGAGCAUGAGAGACUACCAGUUUUCGUCUCCCUCAGUCGGAAUGGUCUACCUAGGAUCAUUCCUUCAUUUCAUCGUAAGGUGAUAAUGAGGAAGGAUGAUAAGGCGGACACAUUAGUUCAGUUAUAUCUAUCCUUCUUUUAUUCACUUUGUCACGGACUCUUGGCGAGUUCUGCUUCUUCUUCUUCCCUCGGAUUCGGCAUAGCCUUCUUCAGAUUAUUCAUCCUUGUCUUCGUCUCUGUCUACCAGAUCGGAUCCAAUCAAAGCUGUUCGUCCCCCUUCUCGACGUUCCCGGAGGGUGGCUCUUCACUUGGUGUUCACUAUUCUAAGGUCUUGGCACUAACAAUGGCACAGACUUUCACUUCGACUUAG